CAGUCUCAAAGCUGAGUGCAACCACAAGAUUGAAAGACAAUGCACUGUGGUCCUAUAAAUAGAAAUGAGAAUUUCUCCGUUAAGUGUAAAGCUUUGCAGACUGUAUGUGUAGCCCAUAGUGUUAGUCCUGCAUCAUUAAUUAGAGAGAGAGAGAGAGAGAGAGAGAGAGAGAGAGAGAACAUGCACAAAUGUUAGUUCAAGCUGCCCGUGGAAAACGGAAAUGUUCAGUGUUCAGAGUGGCUUGCAUAUUUCACUCUGACAUCUCACUAUCAUGUUUUUCAAUAUGAUAGUGGUUAGGCAAUGCAGAUAAUUUUUUUCUUUUUUCUCUUGCUUUCUUCAUUUUUCUUUUAUUUUGUUUUCUAUUUAUGCUUUCUUUCCAACCUUUAUCCCUCCUUUGUUUCUCUUGUGUCUUUCUUUCUUUCUUCUUUUUUUUUUUUUGGUAGGGAUUUGUAGUGAAGAAAGAUUGGAUUAGUUUUUCUCAGAACAAAGAGAAACGCUUAAAUUGAUCAGUAGCAUCCAUGUUGGAGUGGUUCAUACAUGAAUUAUUUGGAUAUCUCUGGAGAAAACAGAAAGAAGUUGAAAUGGCACGAAUGAAUCAAAGCAGCCGGAUUCCCAAUGGCUUCCUAAAGAGACCCUGUUGCUCUGAUUAAAGAAUUUUAAUGGCACUGGAGAAAACAGUUUUAGGAACAAGUGCUUGUUCAACACAGUUUCAGUACUUGGUAAGUCCCCUGGGUAUGAUGGGGGAGGGAGUUGUCAUUUCCUGCCAAAAGAAAGCAGCAGGUGGUGGUUUAAAAAAAAAUAAAAAUAGCACCACAUUACCACAAAGAAGUAUGCUCUUCCAUUCUGGUGUGUGUGUGUGUGUGUGUGUGUGGUAGGAGGGUAAUAUUUUUUAAACUUGAGUUGAUUUUAUUUGCAUUUCCUUUAAUUGUAAUACAAUUCAGCUGUUUAAAUGUAUACUGAAAGUUGAGAUUUUUUAAAAAGGCACUAAGUUUGUUUUGAGUUCUGUACUCUGCCUCAGGGCUUCCCUUGUGGCUCCAUGGUAAAGAUCUGCCUGCUAAUGCAGGAGAUACGCUUUCAAUCCCUGGAUCAGGAAGAUCCCCUGGAAAAGGGAAUGGCAAUCCAACUCCAAUACUCUUGCCUGGAAAAUCCCAUGGACAGAGGAGCCUGGCGGGCUACAAUCCAUAGGGUAGUAAAAGAGUCAGAUGUGACUUAGUGACUACAUAACAACAACAAUUCUGCCUUAGUUCAGAGGUUGCAGGUAAAUAUGGUAACAUUGUAGCUGAAUUAUUUUUUAAAUGAUAGGUGAGCAUGGAAGAUUAGCCGGGUCACUGUUGCCAUGAAGGAGGGAUUUUCUUUUUGAUUGUUUUUGAAAUUUCUUCAAUUUGAUCUCCAAACACUUAUAUGAAUAUAUUUGAUUGUUUUGAGGAAACUGUGGAUGAAAUCAUAAUCAGUUCAAUGGUAUGGCAUCCAGAACAAUUAUUUUAUCCACUGAGAGAUGACUAAGAAGGAAGAACAAAUUUUCCUGCUAUUAAAAAAUUCAGAUGUGAUCCUCAGUAAAUAAAAAAAGGAAAUUCUUUAAAAAGAGGUUUGGU
ensembl:lncRNA